rnacentral:misc_RNA from 1 species
AAGCUUCACAUUACAUGGAACCAUGAAUACAGUACUUGUAUGAGCUAUUAUGACAUCUAUGUACAGAACAAAGACCAGAACUUCGGGCAGUUGGCAUUCCACACCAACCAAUGUGUUUGUAGUCACCUUAAGAAAAAAAAAAUUAUGUGAGCCGCUUUUCACAGAGGAGCAAAGCACAUUGGAGCCCCUUAAAUGCAUCACUGGAACUUCUUAACAGAUAAACAGCUGAAAGCAUGACGCUAGUCACCGUAGGUUUUGCUGCCUCCAAUAGAUGUAUCACUAGAAUCUUCUUG